GGGGACCUCGCCUACACGCUUUUCUUUAAUUCUACCACAUGCUUUCCCGCAAAUUAGUCUGUCAAAUGACCCUGUUACCCUAUAAAAUACAACAACUAUCAUGUAAGGGUGCUUUAGGGGUGAGUCUCCUACAAAGGACCAAGUGGGUCCUACUAGGUCUCAAUAUGAUGCAGAUAAGCAUGACCUAAAGGCUGACCUUAGUUGGGGUCCACUAACAAGAAUGUUCGAGGGAGCGUAUAGUCGAUAGUGGCUGUGACAACUUUCCACCUACUCCAU
rnacentral:lncRNA from 1 species